GGGCGUUUUCAAACUAAUCAAGAAGUGUUUCCCAAUCCCAAUACCUGAGCUAUUUACUUACAAGUGCGGGUUUUAUAAGUCACUAGUGGUGUCAACAUGAGGGGAUGACAUGUCUACACAGUCAUGGCCCUCACUCAGAGUUUCCCCAGAUGUGCUUUUUUUCCUCAAAUAUGAAUUUUUGCCACUGGGUUUUUUGAUCUGGCCCGAGUUCACUGAGUGGACUGGUAAUCCAAGACCCUGGUCCAAACAGGGGGAAUAGAUAUUAUUCCCAUUUUGACUAUAUGAGUUUAC